CCCCCAACUUGCAGAACUGUUGUAAAAAGGGGAAACAGAUUAGGAUGGCACAGUGUAAUUUUAUUGCUGUUUGUUUUGGGUACCCUAAUGUCCUGCUGUUUGUUGGGAAAGGCUGAGUGAGCACUUAUACCUGGAAUGCUUCUAAGAAUUAGAAUUUGGAAAUAAAGUAGGAUUUAAAUGUGUGGAUCUCAUAACUGACUUGGAAUCCUUCCAGAAGUGUCUGAAUCCUGACUUGAGAAACUGCUGUAGGAACACCGGACCCCAAGCUUUGCAUGUCUAGAGCAAGCCAGUGUCCCAGCAUAGUUACGCAUUGAGUUACAAGUGAGCUAGGUGCCUCAGAAUCCAAUCCAGAAGAUUCUGACAUUCAGCAGUGAUCCUUUAAGUUAAUAGGUAAGGCUGAAAGUAGGAUUGAGUUUUACCCUUAAUCUUCAGACUUAGGUACCUCUGGCUGGUCAUGAUUCACUCAUGAACUCUUCCCUCCUUCUUUGAUGGUUGGAGUCUGCUCUGACAAAACACACCCAGGGAAAGUCCUGGUUUAAUUUGUUUGCCUGUAUGAGCUUAUCACAUGGAUAUUCAGAUCACUCCUUUGCACAGGAGGUCAGGAUUUCAUAGUCUCAGUUUCCCAAGGGAGUGCAGAAAGGUAAAACCCUUUGGAAAUGGGGUUUAUCAAGUGCUUCUAUGAAAUUUAUGCACUAGGAGACUAGGCUUCUAAAUUCUGUUCCAUAGAGUAUUUAGAUCUGUGUUAAAUGGAACAGAGAUUAAGUCUCAUCAUGCCAUGUAGCAUGAUUUAAAUGCUAUGUUGUGUAGAUAUUCUCUUUUUUUUGUCUGUUGGCUAAUAACGUCUGGAUUAAUCUGUGUGCAUAGCAGUAGUUCCAGGUGUUCUCAUAGCAAUAUGAUCAGGACCCUUUCUUUAGGGCUGGUGGGCAUAUUAUCAGGCAGAAGAGGGUUCUUUACAUUUUUCCUUCACUGAGGUUGCAGAGCAAGUCAUGGGAAGAAGUUAGGGAAGGAAAGAGAGUUGUAUGCAUCAGUCUCUUCAAAUAUACCAGUUCUUUUUAGGACAGUGGUAAAAAUAAGAAAGAAUGGUAACUUCUUUCCCUUCUUCCACUAGAAGAUUCAUUUUGAAAACAAAUUUAGGAUAGCUAAUAAAACUAAAAAGGUAGGAAAGAGAAGUCUGACUUGGAUAAUAUUGCUCAAACCUGAUUUUUGUUGUAGGACCAAUAGUUAAAUUAACUGUACAUUCUGCAAGGCAGUAGUAUGUGAUUCUUGAUCAUAAUUAAACAGGACUUGGUGAUAUACAUGAUGUACAUUCUUGGAUUGCAUUGCGUGAAAGCAUCUGAAUUUUUCAAGUUUAUUGAAAACUUAAAUCAGUGUUUCUAAAUUGACAUUCCUCUUCUUAAAGGUGAUUCUGCAUAUAGCAGGAAAUGUAAAAGGCCAACAGGAAUAAACUGGCUGCAAAGCAGCAGUGUUAGCAGAAACUGUCUCAAAAACUUUUAUGGGUUAUAUUUUCUCUUUUACUGUGUAUUGAUUAUUUUCGCAAUAAGCGGCUGCCUGCAGACUCUUAGAUACAGAAAACAUACGCCAAGAGAUGGCAUGUGAAGAUGAGCCAACAGACGUGGGAAAGCCUCACUUCCUCAGCAAUCAUUGGUGCGACUGGCUGAAGGCGUUUGAUUGUUGUCUGAAUUUCGGAAAUGAUGCCUUGGUGAUUGGAAUGUCUUUUCUUCACUUGCCAGCUGCUGUAUGGAGAUGCAGCAGUUCCAUUUUCAUAUGGCAGCUUUAAUUUCUGUCUUCUGAGCAGAAAGUGAGCAAUGCAGCACACCUUUCACAGGAUGCAAUUAAACCUGCCUUAGUCACUGCUGGAGGAACAGGCAGAAACAAGUCAUUUAAUAGAAAUGUCUCUAAUAAAGCUGAGACAAACACACCCUAUUAAAGAUUUGGGGAAAUCUCUUCUGGCAAAAAACCUUCUGCCUAAGGAUGGACUUUGCGUGGCCUUCCUUCUAUUGUGCUUUCCUUCCUGUAGAUGACAGAUAUGGUUAAAUGCUAGCACCAGUCAUGUUGUUCAAAAUUAACCCAGGUUUUCCUGCACCAUGUGUGCAGGCAAUGGCUUUACUCCCCACCCUGCUAAAAAGGGUCACCCUGGCUGCUACUGAAUCUUCCCAACAUGAUCUUGCAUUAAUUUUGAACUCUCCUGGAGCCAGAUUGUGAUUGAUCUUUCCAAACUUUAGUAGAUAGAAGUCAUGCACUCUGUCUAAAAUAAUGUAUUUGGAUUCCUUCAGAGCCAAUGGAAGCAGUGUUUAUUUCCUGGGAGUAAUUAAUCCCAACCCGAUUGGGGGCACUGGAGUAGCAGAGUGAUUGCUUCCUAGAUGUAGCCACAGCAGGAAGUGUUCUAACAGCUGGCACCUCUGUUCUCUGCAAACCUAACAUUGAAACAGGAUCUGUCAAGGGAUCAGAUUUUCAGUAAAACAAAAUGCUGUCAAUAGUCAAAUGGGUUAUUAGAACUCCUUUCUGGGAUCUGUCUGAAAAUUUCAAUGGUUUUUUAAGAUUUCCCUAUUCAGCACUAUUUUUAAACACUAAAAUUUUGUUUAAAAGAGUGAUGAAUGGGGAAUUCAGAUGAAUAAGAGAAACAGUAUUGUACAUCAUGUUUUUCUCUGCUACGUUUUAGAGAGCUCCUCAGACUAAGGUUAGUGAAAGACCUCUACUAUAUGACAGAUUUGAAGAAAAAGUAACACACUGGUACAGAUUUUCAAGGCCAAAAGAGAUCAUAAGGUUAGUGUCCCCCAAAUGGCAUACCAGGCCAUGUUUAGCUCAGAAGAUACUCUUAGUAGCCAUAGCACAAAAUUGCUUUUGUACUAUUCUCACUUAGGCAAUUUAAUGAACAGCAAAACUAAAGAAGGCUCAUUUCCAUGUGUAUGUGUGUCUCACCUCCUUCUAUGCCCUCUUUAGGACAAGAGGAAACAGCCUCAGGCUAUGCCAGGGGAGGUUUAAAUUGGAUAUUAGAAAAAGUCUCUUCACAGAGAGGAUGGUCAGGUAUUGGAACAGGCUGCCCAGGGAAGUGGUGGAAUCACUGUCCCUGGAAGCAUUCAGAAGAUUUGUAGAUGAGCCCCUCAGUGAUAGGGUUUAGCGGUGAACUUGGCAGUCCUCGGGUAACUGUUGGACUUUAUGAUUUUUAAAGGUCUUUUCCAACUUAAUUGAUUCUGCGAUUCUGUGUGCAUUUUUCUGGUGUCUAAUGCUGUGGCUAGUUCUUCUGUGGGGAAUUGGAGAUUCUCUCUUUUGUGUAUUUCCACAAAGUAUUUUAGGGUUAGUAUUUUAGAAACCCCUACUUUUCUGCUGAAGUUAGUUAAAAUUUGCCACUGGGUUCCAGAAUUAGUAAGAGGCAGUGGACAGACUAUGUAGACAGUCUAUAUAGGGCAAAAAACCGUGCGUUUUAUUUUCACAGGAAACUUGGCAACAAACAUACGGGUGUGGUGAUUUGUUGAGAGUAUUGAGAAGUGACUGAUUUCAAAGUGUGCUUGGCCCCAAAAAGUAUGGAAAGAUGCCUGUGUCAGGUCUACCUUGCCUGUUCUCUGUAGCCAAGUCACAGCAUUUGUGUACUAGCUUUUGCCAAACAAGAGCUGGCUUGUGUUUUAUGAAAAUACCGUAUCAUUUGAAACUGAUAAAGGAGUGUACUGCUGCUGUUCAGAAUCUCAGCAAUGUCACAGUUAAAAUGUUGCUUAUUUUAUUUCUAAACUUGUGUUGCUAUUUUUAGCUUUCUUUUUUUGCUAUUGAUUCUUUCAAUGCGUUUCUCUGUUAGGUUAGACAGCCCUCUAGGACCAGCUGGUUUUCAGCUUGAAGGGGUGUGUGUGCCAUAAUUGGAUCAUUCUUGAUUUCAUUUUUGAUAAACAAAGCACGCAGAACUCUUUAGGUCCCUAUAGUAGGGCAUAUUCUCUAGCCUUUGUGUUACUCAGGCUCUUCUCUUUCCUCUGUAAUUCCAAUGAGUGUGGCCAAAAACCAAUUUAUAAAUUACUCUGCAAAUUCAGUGUGUAGUAUGCCUUCUGGCUGGCACAGAACCUGCAGAAAGAGCGAUAUCUUAUUUCCUAUCUACUUUGCACAAUAAAAGCAUGAUAACGUAAGGAUGGCCACAUCAA